GAUAAACGCUGGCGGCGUGCCUAAUACAUGCAAGUCGAGCGAAUGGAUUAAGAGCUUGCUCUUAUGAAGUUAGCGGCGGACGGGUGAGUAACACGUGGGUAACCUGCCCAUAAGACUGGGAUAACUCCGGGAAACCGGGGCUAAUACCGGAUAACAUUUUGAACCGCAUGGUUCGAAAUUGAAAGGCGGCUUCGGCUGUCACUUAUGGAUGGACCCGCGUCGCAUUGGCUAGUUGGUGAGGUAACGGCUCACCAAGGCAACGAUGCGUAGCCGACCUGAGAGGGUGAUCUGCCACACUGGGACUGAGACACGGCCCAGACUCCUACGGGAGGCAGCAGUAGGGAAUCUUCCGCAAUGGACGAAAGUCUGACGGAGCAACGCCGCGUGAGUGAUGAAGGCUUUCGGGUCGUAAAACUCUGUUGUUAGGGAAGAACAAGUGCUAGUUGAAUAAGCUGGCACCUUGACGGUACCUAACCAGAAAGCCACGGCUAACUACGUGCCAGCCGCCGCAGUAA
rnacentral:rRNA from 1 species